GGGGUCAUAUCAUUUUGGUGUCUGGGAGAAAAAGGUCAUGAAAGUAGGAGAUUGAUAUAAUAUUAGUCCGAGAUUACUCUGAGAUGUGGGACGGCCCCAGCUUUUCUGGCAAAACAGCUGGUGGACGUCAGAGUAAUCUCAGACUAAUAUAAUAUAUGCAAACACAAUUUUCUUGUUGUAAACCUAGAAUAUUUGAAUGCGAAUGCUGGUGAUUUUGUUAUUAAGCAUGCACACUUAAAAUUUAGAACAUUUCCUGUCUAGACUGUUUAACUUAUUUUUAAAAAAUGAAUCAUUUCACAAAACUAACUUUCUUACUGAUGCAUGAUGGUGUGGAUGGAGUGUCCUUCAUUUCUUUCUUAUCUAAUUCUUUAUACCAUUUAUCUCUAUUAACAAUUAAACUUUUUAUUCUUCAUUUUUCUUUAUUUCUUAUAAUUUAACACCCCAUUAUUCUUUAUUGUUAUGUCUAUUUUCUUUAUUUACAAAUGUAUUGUGCAUAUAACAUGCAUUUAUUAUUAUU
rnacentral:lncRNA from 1 species